rnacentral:lncRNA from 1 species
CGGGGCUUGCCUUAUUACAGGAGGAGAUCUGAGAUCUUCUAUCACGAUAGGCAGUUAGAUGGAGUCCACCACUGGAUCAAUAGCACUGGAGUAGGUUCCAUCUUCACAAGGACCAAUUCUUGUUCUUGGUGUUCUACAUGAAAUGAUAUGAAUAUGGAUAUUUACUUAAACUAGGAAUAUGCAACUUGCAAAGGAGACAACACAUAUUAUUCCUAGACUUAACAUAUAAGCUAUCAUCACAAGCCAUAACUACCAGGGAGCUACUUAUCCUUAGAAUUCAUCUAACCAUUCACAACUUGCUAAACAAUUUCAUCCUUUACUAAGACAUCAGGUGCCUUAAUUACCGAGGGGUAAAACUCUUUUUCUUUAUUGAGCAAUAAUUAAUUUACUAAGCAAAUCUUGUCCAAACAGUUCCAAACUUUAUCCAAGGGUUCAUAUGCUCAAGAUAAGCUUACACAAAUUUUCCUACAAUUUUUAGUGCUCUAUUUUUAUUACUAAAAUUUCAUAUAAGUUCAUUUAAAGCAGGUUUUAUUCAUCUAAAAAUAUUUAUUUGCUACAAAAACUCCAAAACUAUUUUUACCUGGAACGCUACCAAUUUACCUAUCUAACCAAAUUUGUUUUACUAAUUUAGCACUUUUCCACAAUUUUUGGUAUAAAUAAACAGACAUUAGGUAAAAGAAAAUGCUAAACACAUGAACAGUCUCGGGCCAGAACUAACCCAGCCAGCCCAACUCCAGGCAAAACCGGCCCACUCAGACAGCGCUUACAGCCCUAGGCUCCAGCACCGCGCGCGCCCGCGCUUCCUCUGCGCGUGUCGGCGGCUUCCAACUUCGAUGGUGUUAAGCCGGAAUGACGAUGCAGUAGAGUUCCCAACCAUGGUGGAGCAGGCACUUGCGACUCACCACAGAGCAGACCAACCCCAGAUCACGCACGCAACCGGCCCCAGACAAGGUCUGCCACGGCGAGACCGUUCCCAGCGGCGUUCACCGGCGGCACCGCGGCGUUCCCGACGAGACACUGCAGUAGAGAUGAAAAGGGUAGUGCCAUGAGCUUCACUGGCUUAAGGAGAUUACUGAACGCGAGUGACACGGGUGAGCAACUCCUCGAGACGACACGGCCACAGUGAGAUGAGAAACUGAUGAGCUCAGUCACCAGAAAAGGGAGAUUGGCAUGCGAUGAACAAGAGCAGAUCGAACCUGAUGGCCGGGGAGAGUAAACACCGACGUGAACAUGAACCACAACACUCACACGAUGCACUCUCGCUAGAACUCAAGAACGGGAAGAGACUUCACUGCCCUGGCCCUGCAGCGACUAGAUAAAAGGGUAGUGCAAAGUGAUUGAGCUCGGCCGGUUCACGGUAGAGAAGGCUUUGAUGGCGCCAGCACAACAUGGCUCAAACACGUGGCUAAGCUUCCAAGCCCCACGCCAACAUGCAAGCAACACCAAAGCAUCGAACUUGGGUUGGUUCACAGGCACACCACAAAUAUCCACUCUGCUCAGAAAUUCAGACAUAGAGGAGAGCAGAUAAGGACCCACUGUUCCCAGACAGUCCAAAACUUAGAUAUUUCAGUGGGGAGAGGCAUCUCCCUUGGCCACGCAUUUUACUCUUAUCUCCAUCCACAUAUUUAAAGUAACAUUUGCAGGGAAAAGGAUCUUCUUUAUUUACCAACUGAAACUCUGAAUUCAACCAAAUCAGGCCUGCUGCUCCCAUUCCCCUCCUCACUGUUUAAGCCCUUUGAUUUUAAAUUCCCCUUAACAAUAGACCAGACUUACUUAACCAAAAUUACUCUCCAAACCAAGCUCUAUCACUUUGGUAUAACAACCCAGGGCUAAAAACGUCUUGGAACAAAAACUAUGAUGCCCAAAAGUAGAGAAAAACCAACACUGGCAGCUCAAUCUCAAUUGACUGAAACAGCCCAUACCAAACUAACAUUAAGUUGUGUAACAGAAUUUUCUCUAAUUUCUUCCGAGUAACAAGCCCAACUCUUUAUAUAAAAAUUGUUCACCUUAUAACAACCUCCAACAUUUCUAUGUACUUCUUAAUCUGCAACUUGAUGGAAUGGUCGCAAGAGUGCCCCAAACUGAUUCAAGUUUCAGCUAUCAGCACCUGAAUCCCACACUUUUCUGACAGAACCCCCAUCUUAAUCCCCUUAAAUCUCAUGAUUCCAAAUGGUAACAGUGAAACGACCACAACAUAAAUUGCUCUCCCAACAUCCUUCUACAUCUUUGCUGCAGAAUCCCCAGUCCAAAACUCCAUGGAUUUGGUACUACAGACCUCCAAAGUCGAGCACAAAUUCACAAAAACUCAGUUUGCAGCUAACUGAACCAGAGUUCAGACCAUACCCAACUGACAGAGGAUGUUUAGGUGCAGUUUAUUCUUAGAUUUGUACAGCACUAAGCCUACCUCUCCUUAGAAAACUUACUCACCUUACUUUGGUCUCCAAGUUCUCUACAGAAACUACGGCCUAAAAGUGCAUGGAUUGAUCAACAAGGAGGUCCAAACUGAGCAUCAUACUGAACUUUCAGUUUCAGCUAUUUGAACAAAAAUUCAGUUAGUGCACACUGACAAUCCAUUUUUGGGCAAAUUUUACUUUCCUUUUUGUUUGUGAUCAAGCCCAACUCACUUAAAGGAGUCUGUUCACUAUAAUAUGGUCUUCAACUAAUCUACAGAAACCAUAGUCCAAAACUUCCUAAAUUAGCUACAAUAGAGCUCCAAAACUGAACUAACAACACUGAUUUCAGACUUAGGCUACUAUUCAAAAUCUGAAGAUCCAGAAGUCUGACAGCCCUACUUUGAACACAUUUUUUCUCCUAGUUGCAUAUGGUUUUAGGGCUGCCACAUUUCAUAAACGUUAUUCUCCUAUAGUUACUCUACAGGUUUGUUAUAGCAACUGUUUCCAAAAUAGUCAUGGAUUAUAAGUUACAGGGAUCCAAAAACAGAUAAACAAAACUGUUUUGGGCUGAUUCCAAUUGACCCAAAUCUGAACUUUUGCAAAUUACUUCAAAUUCUCCCACAUCACUUGGAGAGCUCCAAUUAUGAAAAUUGUUCACUUUCCCAAGCUCCACGACUUUUAUAUACGGACUUUUAGCAAAACAUAGCUAAAUCUUAAAAUCCACUUUUGCGCUAGUUUAGAGUUGAAAUUGGACUUGAUCUGCUUCAAGUGCUUCAUCAAUUUAUUGCAUCCUACUAAAAACAAGGUUAACCUUAAGCUCAAACCCAACUUUGGUGUAUAGAGCUUAUGUCCAAAUUUCCAUUAGUUUAAAAGUUGCUUGUUUGUACUAGAUUUCAAACAAGGUCUCUGAACUUCUCUUGCUCUCUUCGAAACGACACAACCUCGCCCUUUUCUCCAAGUUCCAAAUGCUUCUGAGGCCAAGUUGCUUAAUCAAAUUGGUGCUCCACAAGUUUGGUACAAUGACCCUUAGCUAGAACCAUAUGGAUUCUAAACCAUCAAAGCCCAAAGUUGGCAUUAAACACACAGAUUCAGACUUUGGUUUUUCACCAAGUUUGAAAAUCCAAAAUUAAACACUACAUUUUUUACCACUGUUUCUACCAGUUCCAAAUAGUUUCAGAGGUAUGAACCUUAACCAAACUUAUACCCCAACAUGUGGUCUUCCACUUUGGUACAUAAACUGUAACCCAUAGCUGUAUGGAUUAGCCACCAACAGGCUUCCAAAGUUGCUUCAGCAUAUAAAAUCUUCAGUUUCAGAUAUUGCAGUCUGAAAUUCAGAUUCUGACAUUCCCACUUUGGACCAGUUUCCACCUAGUUCCAUAUGAAUUUAGGGUUACGUAGCUUAAACAAAUUUACACAUCUAGUGUAGCUCUACAGCUUUGCUACUGUGACCAUCUUCAAAUUGCCUAUAUAUCAAAAGUUAUGAAGAUUCAAAGACAACUACUUGAUAUUGUUUCCAGCCAUCCAACCUUAGGUCCAAAAAGUUAAUUUUUGAGUUUUCUCCACUUCUUCCUAUAAAACAUGGAAAUCUCUAUACCUGAAAGUUGUUUGGGUUGGAGAACUCUAUAAAUUUGGUAAUUUGACCUUUUGGCAAAUUAUUGCCAAAUCACAAGUUCCACUUUUGGAGCUCUAAACUGAGAUUUUCAAAACCAGGUCCUUCACUCUUCAUUAAUCACAACAUCAUACUUAGAUUAUUUUGGAUCCUAGUGAAUGCAUUCUAAGUGUAUCAAGCAAGUUAAUGCAAAUGCUGAUGAUGACAUGUCAGAGUUUUAGUAAUCGUAACACCAGGGGUGUUACAGCCUUCCCCCCUAAAAGAAAUCUUGUCCCGAGAUUAAAAGUCUAGACUCAGUAAUGGAAAAGAAAAUGUGUCACCGGUUUAUUUUCCAUUUACUCCUACAAGGCAGGGGGUGUGCCCCCAUCGAAAGACAACUUAUACAAACCUAGGGUUUACAAGACACUAGGAACUCAGGAAUAUACUUUUCUAAAUACUUCUCUGACUACUACGCGACUUUAUCUUCUGGGUGUUAGUUCCACUGUAUUUCGUAAAAGUCGGUAACUUUUCUUCGAGUGACCCGAUCCUUUUGAUCUAACACCUUUAUGGGAUAUUCCGAGGAGGUUAAACCUGGUUUAUGGUUAACAUCUGAAAUCUCAAUACCAUAUUUGGGGACUCGAAGACAUUUCUUCCAUUGGGACACGUGGAACACGUCGUGCAGUGUUGAAGGUCCUUUUGGCAAUUGUACCUUAUAAGCUAUAGGUCCACCAAAAUCUCCGUUUCAAACCUUGGUACCUAUUGCUACCUUCAAGGUGAAUGGAGUCCCGGACUGCAACCCAAUCGCAAUUCCACAUCCCUUUUUGGAGGCAACUAGUCAAAUCUUCGAGGAACAUAUCCGAUAACUCCCUCACAUCAGGUAUAUCCUUUACUUCUUUCACUUAAACUCCUAAUGUAGACAAAUCUUAUUAUUUCCUAGAAUAUCCUGACUGACCAUCUCCUUAUAUCCUUCAACCAAACUAAUUGCCAUCAGGAGCUAAAGUUUCACAUUAAGAUCAAGUAGGAUGUAUUACUUUUUUUUUCACUGGCAUCCACAUAAUCCAAAACAUACUGGGAUAGGCGAGUAAACCUCUCAAAUAGUCCAUUACACUCGCUUCUUCACCUUGCUUUAGAUCCAAAAACGCUUUUAACUUUAUUUACAUAGGGGCUUCUGGAAUACGACGUGCCCGAAAUACCUCACAGAACUCAACCCGAGAACUUAAUGUCCUUCUAGCUGCAGCGCAAGGUAUUCUGCCCGCCAACUAAACUUGGCUUCCAGUCUUCAAAAAAAGGAAAGGUAGCAUAGAAAGGCAAAGACAGAUAGCAUGAACAGGGUAGACGAAACACGUACUAAACCUACUACAUGGGGGUUUAACUUAAAGUUAUAUGUCAUGAUGCAUGCUCGUCCUAUUCGUCCUCACAAUCUUGCCAGCAUAUAGUGGCUUGCACGCUCUAUGGCGGUGGCAUAUCUACUCACUCUGGAGUUAACUAGUCGUAAUUUUCUAGAGUUUAGUCAGUGUACCUGCAGAAAAUUUCAUUACAGCCCAAACCCCAUGAUGCAAUUCACACAUAUAGUCACAGUUUAUACUCCAUAUAUUUCUAUAUAGAGGCCAGCUCCUCAUUAAGCGCCGAGCCACGCAUAGGCGCCGCUGCCACACUUUAACCACAGGGCAGCCCAUUGUGGCAACUAUUCAUUACACUUCUCAGCACUCCCAUGUUUGUAUACCCAUACACAUCCAUGGGGUACUGAAUCCUAAAAAAAGUAAUUACUCCACAUUGCAACCUUUAUAUAUACAUAUGUAGAAUAUGUAUAUAGUCUAGUGCCACAUUUAAGCACUCCCCUAGACCGACGUUUGUUCGGUCAUGCUCUCACAACUCACCUUUACCUGAGCGUCGAUCCAUUCAAAACUGAAUGGCACUAAAAAUAACAUUACACAUGUAUGCAUUACCCUUCCCAGGUUGUGGGUUAGUGGUUAGCAUCUUAAACUAAGCCACCUGAUAGUCCGUAGUUUUAACCACAUACUAUUUGCACUUGUACUAUCAAGCCUUGAUUAUAGAUUCUUAAGUUUAUAAAAAUCAUUUAGACUCAAAAUCAUUUUGAAGUUUAUCAAAGGAUUACUUUAAUAUCCAUGCUAAUGGGGGAUCGCUCCGAUACCACACUGUGACAGCCCUCCCAAGUUAUCAGGCCCACAUGCACCAACUCUUGCCAUUAACGGCCUCAGAUGGUUGUGCACGUGUACCGGGUAACUUAACAAGGCUAUCACGAGUUCAACAACUUGAACUCAUUAUCCCAAGGAUCUCCCACAUUCAUGCAUAUUACAGUAAUCACACUCGAUACACACACACUUCGGAGAUAGAGCGGAAGACUUUACAAAAUAUAUUUUACAUUUCCAAAGCUCAAGUUUUACAACAUAAGAAGAAUUGUAAUUAUUACAAGUCCUGAUAGUACCCAAAGUGCAUAACUUAUUAAAAUAGUUGGAAGGGUGAAGCCUUUCCAUAAGAUAUAUACAUAAACAUUCUAAGCUUCAAGGCCUCCACAUGAAGUAACUAACCAAAAGAUAAGGGAAUAAAACUUCUCCUGCAAAAACAACAGGGGAUAAAACCCUGAGUACGCAAUUACUCAGCAAGACUUACCCGACUAAAGAAAAGACUCUCAAGGGUAUGCUAGCUGAUUGGGAAUCAAGGUAAAGUUUAUCAAUGAUCAAAGACUCCUUUUUGCAGAAAAGCUUGCUACCAGUUGAUCCUUAAGCCAAAUUUUAUUUCACUAGUUAGGUUAUUACCUGAAUCUAUAUUUGCAUGGUCUAGUUCAAGCACUUGGCCUAUACUAGUUGCAUUUUAUUCAUUCUCAUAUUUCACUUGCUAACUACGAUGAUGGUCACCGGGAUGAGUCUCCAUAACCGAGGAGCAACGACGAUUCGAACCGAUUAUACCCAGCUGGGGAUCUCUAACCACACGACAUAUGUAGCACUUAACCCUUGCAUAUGUCAACCGUUCCCACGGAGUCCUCCACUACAUGAACAGGUCCGCGCCACCCGAGAGAACAUUACCUACCAGGCGUGCUCUGUGCCAGGAGGGUACAUGCUACUCUCGCCAUCUCUCCACUCCCAGUGCGCGAUUGUCCCUUCACGUAUGGAAUAGCCGGGUUCAAGCUUACCCUGUCCCAUACCAGGGUAUGUGGCUAGUUGCAAAGUCUCAACCACAACAGGCCAGUCAACGGUACAGUCCUUAAUCGACACAAACGGGCGACUCUGUCUGCUCAGCGCCUGGUCUAGAUUUAUUAACCAUUUUCCCAUUUUUGGUACCCGACAGGGGUACUCUUUUCCAAUGAUGAGCCCACUCCGGCCGAAGUGGAGUCAUCACUUAGUUUGCUUUGAUUUUUGAAUCAAAAAGCCCAUAACCAAUGUUCCACAAUCAUUCUUUUGAAAACAAAUGAUUUUUCAGUUUCUAAGCAGGGUUAAGCAUUAUCAGUUCUUUUUAUAAAUCAGGGAUCAAGGUAUAGUAUUCAAAUUCCAAGGAAUGGUAAUGCAUCAAUUGUUCAUCACACAACUCCUAUCACCUAAUGCAUCAUUUAAGGUGAUAAAGCAUUUAAAACACAAGGAAGGGGCAAAUGCACCGGGGCUUGCCUUAUUACAGGAGGAGAUCUGAGAUCUUCUAUCACGAUAGGCAGUUAGAUGGAGUCCACCACUGGAUCAAUAGCACUGGAGUAGGUUCCAUCUUCACAAGGACCAAUUCUUGUUCUUGGUGUUCUACAUGAAAUGAUAUGAAUAUGGAUAUUUGCUUAAACUAGGAAUAUGCAACUUGCAAAGGAGACAACACAUAUUAUUCCUAGACUUAACAUAUAAGCUAUCAUCACAAGCCAGAACUACCAGGGAGCUACUUAUCCUUAGAAUUCAUCUAACCAUUCACAACUUGCUAAACAAUUUCAUCCUUUACUAAGACAUCAGGUGCCUUAAUUACCGAGGGGUAAAACUCUUUUUCUUUAUUGAGCAAUAAUUAAUUUACUAAGCAAAUCUUGUCCAAACAGUUCCAAACUUUAUCCAAGGGUUCAUAUGCUCAAGAUAAGCUUACACAAAUUUUCCUACAAUUUUUAGUGCUCUAUUUUUAUUACUAAAAUUUCAUAUAAGUUCAUUUAAAGCAGGUUUUAUUCAUCUAAAAAUAUUUAUUUGCUACAAAAACUCCAAAACUAUUUUUACCUGGAACGCUACCAAUUUACCUAUCUAACCAAAUUUGUUUUACUAAUUUAGCACUUUUCCACAAUUUUUGGUAUAAAUAAACAGACAUUAGGUAAAAGAAAAUGCUAAACACAUGAACAGUCUCGGGCCAGAACUAACCCAGCCAGCCCAACUCCAGGCAAAACCGGCCCACUCAGACAGCGCUUACAGCCCUAGGCUCCAGCACCGCGCGCGCCCGCGCUUCCUCUGCGCGUGUCGGCGGCUUCCAACUUCGAUGGUGUUAAGCCGGAACGACGAUGCAGUAGAGUUCCCAACCAUGGUGGAGCAGGCACUUGCGACUCACCACAGAGCAGACCAACCCCAGAUCACGCACGCAACCGGCCCCAGAUAAGGUCUGCCACGGCGAGACCGUUCCCAGCGGCGUUCACCGGCGGCACCGCGGCGUUCCCGACGAGACACUGCAGUAGAGAUGAAAAGGGUAGUGCCAUGAGCUUCACUGGCUUAAGGAGAUUACUGAACGCGAGUGACACGGGUGAGCAACUCCUCGAGACGACACGGCCACAGUGAGAUGAGAAACUGAUGAGCUCAGUCACCAGAAAAGGGAGAUUGGCAUGCGAUGAACAAGAGCAGAUCGAACCU